UUAUUUUAUUUACCUGAUAUGACUUUAUUGAGAUAUUAAUCUUGAUUGGUAUCUAUCUCUCUCUAAUUCGUACGUAUUUGGUUUGGUGAAAAUUUACACUUAUGUGAUUAAUUAUCAUUUACUUAGGAUUUUACAGGUAAUACAAUUACCAGACUCCUUGAUGAGCUCUUGUAUUAAAAUCAUUUUAUUAUUUUAUUUAAUAAUACACCUAGACGACGUACUUUCUUUUUUUGUUAGACUUUUGUAGAGUUUUACUGGCAAAAAAAUUAUUUACUAUCUCUGUGGGACUCAAUCGUACUAAAAGCGUAUUAUCUUAGAGGAUAAUUUUAAAACUAUUAGAUUUGAAAUCUAAGUAGUGAAUGCUGAAAGGAGAAGACUAAAAGUAACAGUUCAGAGAUUCGUUGACUUUUCCCUGAUAUAAUUAGAUGAAACUGAGGGAGAGAAGAACCAAGUGUAACUUUAAACCCUGAAUUGUCGUUUUAGGAGUGUGAUAUCACUCCUAUUUUCCGAAUUUGUGCUUAAGCGAUGAAUUGCAGUUCUGCGGUUGAUUCAAGGCAAACAGAGGUUCGAAGACGUACACGUUUCGUAUUGUAAAUCGCUCUAUACACAAAGUUUCAUGUUCAUAAGUGGAUUUCUGCAGACAAGCAGUCGCCAACGUAAAUAAAAAGCGAAAUAAAUAUUUGCACAAUUUAAACAUUUGCGAAACACUGAGGCAUUAAAACUUACCAUAACCAUUUACCAUUUAAAAAUGUCUAUAAAAAGUUUAAACUUUAAUAUAUAUGAAAUGAAGAGUUCAUCAAUAUGCUAUUAGCCUAAUAGUUUCUAAUGGAGGCUUCUUUCAGUGUGAAAAGGUUGAACAUUCCAUCCAAACAGGUGUCAUAGCUGGACACUGUCUUAUAAAAUCACAAUCCUCAAAAAUGAAUGAAUAUAUCUAAUACCUAUUGCAGCUGUCGUAGUAACGAGAAGGAAGAAAAAUCCAUCAUAAAAUCUACUGUGUUCCUGCUCAGCGUGUAGCAAAAAGUUAAUGACUAUUUUAAGUCGCUAUCAAUUGGAAUAUAUGUAUUACUUUCGUGAGCAGGUUGACAAUAUAAUACAAGUUUACCAGAUCUUGUGACAUGAUCAAAAUAAUUCAAAAAGUACCAAGAAAUUUUAUUAGGUGUGCUACAGAUAUUAUGCGGUUUCCUGAUGGGUUCGUUCAUUAUAGGUUUUCAAUUAAUGGUAGUCAAUAAUCACUCCUACUUAUCAGAAAAUUUUAUUUUUCAAUGGCUGAAUAACAUCUAAAGCCACUAUGUAUUAUUAUUAUAAUUACGGGAUGUGACAAUGCUACCAUCGGAUCUAUUGUACCUUCUUCUGGGUUUAGAGAAGAUCUCUAAGCCCUGUUGCGUCAAUAAAAGUAGUAUAGAACCUA